rnacentral:misc_RNA from 1 species
UCCGAGUUGACCCCGGCAGUCUCCUACGAGUCCCCGGCAUUAUCCGCUUUAACUAGCAUGUCAAACCCAGGUAAGGUUCUUCGCGUUGCAUCGAAUUAAGCCACAUGCUCCGCCGCUUGUGCGGGUCCCCGUCAAUUCCUUUGAGUUUUAGCCUUGCGGCCGUACUCCCCAGGCGGAGUGCUUAAUGCGUUAGCUGCGGCACAGAGAGGGUUGAAGACCUCCCCACACCUAGCACUCAACGUUUACGGCUGGGACUAC